rnacentral:rRNA from 1 species
CCAGAGAACUUAGCAGAGAUGCUUUGGUGCCUUCGGGGAACCUCGUGAGGACAGGUGCUGCAUGGCUGUCGUCAGCUCGUGUCGUGAAUGUGGUUAAGUCCCGCAACGAGCGCAACCCCUAUCCUUUGUUGCCAGCGAUUCGGUCGGGAACUCAAAGGAGACUGCCGGUGAUAAACCGGAGGAAGGUGGGGAUGACGUCAAGUCAUCAUGGCCCUUACGAGUAGGGCUACACACGUGCUACAAUGGCGCAUACAAAGAGAAGCGACCUCGCGAGAGCAAGCGGACCUCAUAAAGUGCGUCGUAGUCCGGAUUGGAGUCUGCAACUCGACUCCAUGAAGUCGGAAUCGCUAGUAAUCGUAGAUCAGAAUGCUACGGUGAAUACGUUCCCGGGCCUUGUACACACCGCCCGUCACACCAUGGGAGUGGGUUGCAAAAGAAGUAGAUAGCUUAACCUUCGGGAGGGCGUUUACCACUUUGUGAUUCAUGACUGGGGUGAAGUCGUAACAAGGUAAGCGUAGCGAG